UGACAGACCAGGAGCCUGGAACUCCUUUUAUGUAUCUACAGAACAAGUAGAGCAUGUGCAGCGGCAGGGCACGCUUCCUCCAUAUCACCCCACCGCUGGUCCUCAGCUCUGUUCUGGAAGGCCCACCUUAGAAGUCAGAGGAUAGGUCAGUCUCCAUCCAUGUCACCUUUGAUGUCU
rnacentral:sRNA from 1 species